rnacentral:rRNA from 1 species
UACAGAGGUGGCAAGCGUUGUUCGGAAUUACUGGGCGUAAAGGGCGCGUAGGCGGUUCGUUAAGUCCUGUGUGAAAUCCCCCGGCUCAACUGGGGAACUGCACAGGAAACUAGCGGGCUUGAGUUCGGGAGAGGGAAGCGGAAUUCCGGGUGUAGCGGUGAAAUGCGGUAGAUAUCCGGAGGAACACCGGUGGCGAAGGCGG